GGGUAGCCUAGUGGUACAGCAUGUGCUUAACAUGUAUGAGGCCCCAGGUUUGAUCCCUGGCACACCA
rnacentral:tRNA from 1 species